UAUAAGGGACUUUGAGUUUUUGUUUACACUGUUUGACUACUCGUCUUAUUUAAAAAUUUUGAAAUUAUUAUUUAUUUUUUUGACUUACUUUAUUAUCUAAAGUACUUUAAGCACAACUUUUCGUUUUUUAUAUUUGCACAAUAUUUUUAAAUAAGACGAGUGGUCAAACAGUGCAAGCAAAAAAAACUCAAA
rnacentral:pre_miRNA from 1 species